rnacentral:rRNA from 1 species
AUGCUCAUGGGACAUCGCAGGUUCUUACAUGAAGACCACCCCUUUAGGUCCAAUACCCACUCUUUUGAUGGCAUUGCUGAGCAUAGGCCAGCGCCAAUUCCUCUCUCUGGAUCAGAAAUUGUUGCUCAGACGGAAGAUAUGCAUACAGUUUUUGGGAAGGAUCCUUCCGGGAAGAAGAAAACCAAGCGGAAGCGCAAGGAUGAUGAGCCGUUAAUAGUUUGGAAAAGGAAGUCUAUUUUUUUCAGGCUGCCAUAUUGGGAGAGCUUGUUGCAGCGUCACAACUUAGACGUCAUGCACAUAGAAAAAAUGUAUGUGAGAACAUAA